UUAAGAUCAGAAGGAAAAACGUCAAAAAGCCAUUGAAUUCAUUUGGCACAUAACACACUAAGGAAAUGGCUACGUAAAUCCAGCCUUUGCUUAAGUCUUCUGUUUGCUCAGCUGUGUUUAUUUAAAUUACAUAUUGGCCUUAACUAGGUCCAAUAUUUACUAUUCAACCCCCUCCUGCUCACCUGAACUUGGGGUUCUUAGUUGCAUGGAAGUAGGGUCAAUGAAUUAAAUGUUUCUGAUGUGCUGAUUUGCAUCUGAAUUCAGGGGAGUCACUCAAAGUUUGGGGUUCCAGAGACACUAACUUCAGUGACUUGAAGACUCAGCUUUCCUUGAAGCAAGGACAUGAAAUAUAUCACAGAUCUAACAAAAAAAAUUGUUUUUAAUUUUAAGUCUGGUAAUGCUGAAAUGGAACUGCAAAGAUCAAUCACAGGGACUGUUAAGGGAGAGAGUAUUUAAAGAUUAUCUAGUUGGAUGAUCUUUCUAACGACUUUUUAGCACUGGAGCUCAUAUUAUUAUUAUUUAUUUAUUUAUUUAGGUGGAGUCUCAUUCUGUGCCCAGGCUGGAGUGCAAUGGUGCAAUCUCGGCUCACUGCAAGCUCUGCCUCCUGGGUUCACGCCAUUCUCUUGCCUCAGCCUCCGAAGUAGCUGGGACUACAGGCGCCUGCCACCACACCCGGCUAAUUUUUUGUAUUUUUUAGUAGAGACGGGGUUUCACCAUGUUAGCCAGGAUGGUCUCCAUUUCCUGACCUCGUGAUCCACCCACCUUGGCCUCCCAAAGUGCUGAGAUUACAGACAUGAGCCACCACGCCCGGCCUGGAGCCCAUAUUAUUAAAGAUAACUCACACAGAAGCCAAAUAAACACACAGGUUAGAAAUAAGUGAGGCCUGAUGAAGAGAUUCAAAGGAAGACAAGAGUCCAGCGAAUUCAUGUGUCCUGCCAGAAUGAAGAGAGGAUGACUCCCAUUCUAAUGGGCUCCAGAGAAGAGGGUGAAGGAAAUACAUUGCUACGACUGUCCUUCUGCAGCAUGAAUGUAGACUGCCAGGUCAACAGCAAAUUUCACAUCAACAUAUCCAGUCCAGCAGCAGAAUGGGUCCACAUGGAGGAAGUCUGAAGAAAGAGGUGUCUUACAUCCAAAUGGACCAGGUCCUGUGAAACUCUCCUGGCAACCUUGAAACCUCUUUUGUAAAGAUUAUGACAGUGAGAGAAGUCUAACAGGGCUGACUCCAUUUUGCUUCUAGCCUCACAGGCUGACUGUCUUUGCUUAUUCCUGGGCGUAGGCCAAGCUAACCAUGGGAGGAAUUUAGUUUAUAGUUUAACUUGGAAGCAAGGAUGAGAACAGUUCCUCCCUAAAACUAAUUCUCCCCUUGCUCAGUGCAAAAACCUGGUGAAAGGCCAUGAGAUUAGGAUUAUGGGAGGAGCCUGAACUCCACUAAAAUGUAGAUAUAGUUUCUAUAACCUCCUACCGCUCAGGAGUCAUGUGGCCAGAGGUUACAAGAUUUGUGCCUUCUCCAAUUGUUCCUAUAGAUAACAUUACUAUUAUAGAACCUGAGAUUGGUCUUUUGAGAUGCUUUUCAGACCUUUGCAUUCUGGAAACUCAGUAAUCCCACCUAGACUCAUGGCUCAUGACUCAACUGAUCUUCUGCACCCCCUAAACCUACCCAGAGGCAUACUCAGCACACGGACCAUUUUCCACACCCUAUGACUGCAUCCCCAACCAAUCAUGUGGACCCAUUCCCUAGUCCCCUGCCUUGAAAAAGCCUAACCUCCAAGCCUUUGGGAAGACUGAUUUGAGUAAUAAUAACUCCAUCUUCCAUGUGUUUAGCCUAGCAUUAAUUAAACUCUUUCUUUACUGCAAUACCGUGGUCUCAGUGAAUUGGUUUUGUCUGUGCAGCAGGCACAAAGAGGGUGUCAAGUGAUUACACCUUUGUGGAUAGAGUCUCUCUUCUGAGUCAGCCACGUACUAUGAACCAGAGACCCAUGGACCACAAAACUUACCUACAUAAAAAGUGCCAUCAAAGAUGGGCAUCUGCAAAGAUGAGUAUCUGCAAAUGACAGAUACCACUUAAUCUAAAAAAGAAUCCCUACGUUUCCCUCCCUGUGGCAGCUUUAGCCUAGAAUAUAAAAAUGUAUGCCCCUGAGGAUCUGAUUCACCAAAAUUAAAUCUCAAAAAACCACAUUAAAACACAGGAUAGGAAACUUCAGAGCUGCUGGUGUGCUCUGAAAAACUCUGGGCUGAUGGAACUAGCUGCAAAUCAAGACAGUCUUGACCUUGCUCCAGUGGUAGUUUGCUGCUGCUCACCGGGAAGGGCUCCUUCCCUGCCCCUCACUUUGACCACCUCCCUCAAGUUCCCCUUACAAUAACAGUGAAGAAUUACAAGCUUAGAAACUUACCAUUUUAGCCAAAUGAAAUAUGGAUAUGAAUGUGUGAUUUGUACAUACACAGAAGGGAGGAUAAAGAGGAAAGUAGGGCUCCAGAGUCACAAGAACUUUAUGU
rnacentral:lncRNA from 1 species